GUUAACUAAUUACAACUCACGUAUGAAAGUUUUAUAUUUUUUAAUUGAUAAAAGAACAAACAUGUUUUUCCGUCAAACGUAGUUGUAUUUGUUAUUUGUUAUGACAGUAAGACAAAACAGACAAUAGAAGACUGAAGUUCAACCAGGCUACAGAAAACAUUAUAUGUUUGUUAUUAUAAAAUAUCACAAAUUCAAAAGUUUAAUUUUUUACAUGAUUACUGACUACAACAUUCAACAAUAAGUUGUCAGUUCUACUAUCACUUAACUACUUAUACUACGGUGGCGUUUAUAACUCAUUGCCAGAUGAUAUGCUGUAUUGCAUGAUCAUUUACUUGAAUUUUUUUUUUGCUGUCGGUAAGUGAAUAGUUUCAAACAGGUAAGUAUAAUUUACAAUUAUAUCGCAAUUUAUAACAUGACGAUAGUCUUUGAAACUUGAAUAAUGUACUUAAUUAUGCAGGUUCCAAUAAGCGGAAUGAUCUAAUUGCGUAACGAUAUUCCAAGUUAUCCAAAUAUUGUAUAUGUUUAGUAUGUCCGUAUUUCUGAAAAAAAGGUGACGAUAUGUCUAAAUUGUAACAAUAUUUUUUUAUCUUGUGUCUUCUUUCUCAUUAUUCCUUUCAUGUUAUAUAUCUAUAUGUCCAAGCAAUGUAUCAAUUCCCGAUAAGUACAUACUUUGCUGUAAACCAGAAUUCCUGGUUAUUUGAUUAAUCGUCGCCAUUCAAAGUUGUUUCCGACUAAUAAUAAAUGUAUGACGUCUGUUUUUAAAGCAUAGUUUUAGAAUUACAAAAAAAAAGCAUGUGUUGUCCUUUGUGUAAUUUAAUAUAUAUAUGUAUCAUACUAUUACUAUUUCAUAUAUAUGUAUUAUUUAACUUUAGUCGGUAACUGUCAAGUACCAACUCGAAAACUAAAACUAACAACUUUGAAUAUUUUUUUCUCAAAUGAAUCAUAUGACAAAUGGCAGUCUGCUUAUAAAAGUAAAAAAAGGUGAUAGUUGCAAUGUUUGAAAAUUGUUAUAAAGAUGCAUAAAUAACACUGUUACUUUGCUUAUAAAAAAAUCAAAUAAACUUUGAUAAAUUAUGUGUUUAGUCAUUAAUCUAUUAGCAAAGACGAUAAACAUUACAAAAUGUGAGAGAAUAGCCAAUGAGACAGCUACCCAAUAUAGAGUUAAAUAUGUUGAUGGUAGUUACAAUAAGUCACAUUACGGCGAUAUAGAGUAAAUUAUGUUGAUGGUAGUUACAAUAAGUCACAUUACGGACAAUAUAGAGUAAAUUAUGUUGAUGGUAGUUACAAUAAGUCACAUUACGGGCUUUUCCAAUUGUGAGAAAUACAAUUAUCAUAUAUAAAGUAAGCUAAAAGAUCCCAAAAUGACUAUAUGUGAACCAUUUCAAACUACAGAAUUUACACUGUUAGGUCCGAUAGGUAAAUAAAGUUUGACAACAGUCCGACGAUGAUAUAAAAUGUUUUCAUUGUAGCUGUACCUGUGGAGGAUGGAUGAAUUUCAUAAGACAGAUGUGACAGCUAGUAACAAACAUUAGUGAAACACAGAAAUGAUGGAAAACACUUCCUUCCGAUGCAAAAACAAUAUUAAACAAUCUUGAAUAUAAUGUUUCCUUGUUUUAUUUGCAUGCACGUUUUAUGUUUAAAAUAUAUAUGAUUCUGAUACAUCAAAAUAGAAACUUUACAAUUGUUUAAUCUGUUUUAACCACAAAAGAAUUAUGUCGUACGAUUUGCAUCACAGGAAUCAUUCAUUCCUUGCUAUUUUCUGAUGUCAGAUAAUUAUUAAAUGCUCUCUCGUGACUGAGUAUUAUAUCAAAUUCAAAAUAAUUAGCUAUACUUCUUACCAAUCAAGUGUUAUAUAACUACAAUGUAUAUCCUAGUGUCCGCUACUCAUUCAAAUUGAUUUCACUUUUCUAUUUAUCCUACAAAUAAAGUUAUUAUAGAACUUAACAUAUUGAAAAGCAUUAUAAACUGUCGGAAUAGUCCUUAGGCAAUUGAUUCGAAACAAAUCAAAACUGUAGACUUUUCUAGUACUUCAAGUUAUUAUUCAAAUUGCAUACAAUAUGUCUAUAACCCUACAAUGUAUUUCUUUAUGUGAAUUCAAUUAUCAUACAUAUAUUUGAUUUAUACGUUGUUUCUGCCAUUAAACUUAUAAACAUGUAGAUUGAAAUUGUAUUAUAUUUAACGCGCGAGACUACUGUACAUAUUUCUGUAAUAUGUAUAUGAAUGUUAUUUCUCUUGUUUUAUUAAAUGUUAUGAUUAUGUUUAAAUGUGUAGUCUUUAGAUGAUAUUAAAUUGGCAAAUGGUUUGAUUAGAAUGUGUUUUACCUGUUUCGCCCACGUCGUCAUGCCUUUGAUAGAAAAAAACCGUCAAAGUUUUCACGGCUUCGUUGAAAGGGGAUUAUUCCAUAUUUGGUGUGCAGCUUGAUAAUGUUGAGUUGUGGCGACUUUCUGUUUGUCAUUAGUUUAAAAUACUACAACUCUGAUUGUACAAGGAAAAUGUUCGUAAAAAUUUACUUGGCUUGAUUGAAAGGAAUGAUUAGUUAUGUUUCAGUAUACAUGUUGUUAUGAUAUUGUUAUUAUCAUGUUUAUUUAUCUUGGCCUAAUUUGUUUUGUGUGGCCUUAUAAUAUGUAUAAUAUGUUUAUAUCAUAUUUAUAGUUGUUUACAAAAUAAUGUUAUAAUUGUGCAGUUUAGAACGUUGGAACGAUUAGAACUUUCUAUUUGACUGACAUAAUAAUUCUGAAAUGAUCAUAAUAUACGAUGUGUAAUUGAAACUUCUACCGUAUUCUAGACGUUUCCGUACUAAGGUUUUCUAUGAGUUUCCGUUCUACAGUGUUCUAGAAGUUUCCGUGACAACUACAUAUAGAGACACCGAAAUUAGACUUUUUUAGUCAUUUAUUUACUUUGAUUCACAGAAGUUCUCUUACGUUGUUGUAUUGACACUUGAUGUACGUUAACUACAUCAUACUAGAUUGGACAUAUUCCGUACAGUUAAGAGAAGAAUUCCGGAUAAAGAAAAGACAAAGGAUCGGACAUAUGAUUUAACAGUUAAUUUAACAUUUCAAUUUGUAUAAUAUUUCUUGUAAACCUGUGUAUAAUAAAUCUUGUUUAAUUUUA